AUUGAACGCUGGCGGCAGGCCUAACACAUGCAAGUCGAGCGGAUGAAGGGUGCUUGCUCCUGUAUUCAGCUGCGGACGGGUGUGUAAUGCCUAGGAAUCUGCCUUGUAGUUGUGUAUAACGUCCUGAAACGGGCUCUACUACCGCAUACGUCCUGAUGUUGAAAGUUUGGGAUCUUCGGACCUCUCGCUUUCAGAUUAUCCUAGGUCGGAUUUGCUAGUUGGUUUGGUAAAGGCCUACCAAGGCGACGAUCCGUAACUGGUCUGAGAGGAUGAUCAGUCAAACUGGAACUGAGAAACGGUCCAGACUACUACGGGAGGAAGCAGUGGGGAAUAUUGGACAAUGGGCGAAAGCAUGAUACAGCCAAGCCGCGUGUGUGAAGAAGGUCUUCGGAUUGUAAAGCACUUUAAGUUGGGAGGAAGGGAAGUAAGUUAAUACCUUGCUGUUUUGACGUUACCAAAAGAAUAAGCACCGGCUAACUACGUG
rnacentral:rRNA from 1 species